CUCGUAGGUGGUUUGUCGCGUUGUUCGUGAAAACUCACAGCUCAACUGUGGGCGUGCGGGCGAUACGGGCAGACUGGAGUACUGCAGGGGAGACUGGAAUUCCUGGUGUAGCGGUGGAAUGCGCAGAUAUCAGGAGGAACACCGGUGGCGAAGGCGGGUCUCUGGGCAGUAACUGACGCUGAGGAGCGAAAGCGUGGGAGCAAACA
rnacentral:rRNA from 1 species